rnacentral:rRNA from 1 species
UACAGAGGGUGCGAGCGUUGUUCGGAAUUAUUGGGCGGAAAGGGCGCGUAGGCGGCGCCACAAGUCACCUGUGAAAACUCUGGGCUCAACCCAGAGCCUGCAGGCGAAACUGUGGUGCUGGAGUAUGGGAGAGGUGCGUGGAAUUCCCGGUGUAGCGGUGAAAUGCGCAGAUAUCGGGAGGAACGCCGGUGGCGAAGGCGGUUCUCUGGGCCUGUACUGACGCUGAGGAGCGAAAGCGUGGGGAGCGAACAGG